UUGGUUCAUCUUUUGGAGUCUCCGAUCCAGAAAAUCCUCUCGACUUCGGGUCUCGAGGGUCCUCUGACAGAAUGGGGGCAGGGAUCUUCCAGGGGUGGAGUCGUGAUUCGAUCGAGGGCUCUCCACCCUCGGGUUCGUCUUCCCAGGAAAGAUGGGAUGGCUGGCCCAAGUGGCCCGCCCCACUGUCGGAUUCUGGUGUUUCGGUGACACCCUUUCCAGGUGCACUGAUGCUUGCGGCUGCUGCUGCUACUGCAUGGCCUAUACGGCCUCAGUGAAGCCUCUGACCUGCUGCGCCAGCAGAUCAAAUUGCUCUGCAUCGACCGCCAUCACCGGA
rnacentral:lncRNA from 1 species